GGGGGGGGGGGGGGGGGGGGGGGGGGGAGGGAGGUCGGGGGGCGGCGCGGGGGCUUGCGCGUGGUGGCGAGGGGGGAACGGGUGAGUAAGGCAUCGGAACAUUUCCUGGAGGGGUGGAUAGCCCGGCGAAAGCCGGGUUAAUACCGCAUCCGGGCUACGGGUUAAAGCGAGGUAGUCGCGGACCUCGCGCCAUGUGGUUAGCCGAUGGCUGAUUAGCUAGUUGGUGGGGUAAAGGCAUACCAAGGCGACGAUCAGUACCUGGUCUGGGAGGACGACCAGCCACACUGGAACUGAGACACGGCCCAGACUCCUACGGGAGGCAGCAGUGGGGAAUUUUGGACAAUGGGCGAAAGCCUGAUCCAGCAAUGCCGCGUGUGUGAAGAAGGCCUUCGGGUUGUAAAGCACUUUUGUCCGGAAAGAAAUCCUUGGCCCUAAUACGGUCGGGGGAUGACGGUACCGGAAGAAUAAGCACCGGCUAACUACGUG
rnacentral:rRNA from 1 species